GUCAAGAAUAGACACUCAAGGAGCUCUAUUCUUCCUAGGAAUUCUAUUUCUAUUAGCAGGGCUAUUAAGAUGUGGAAAAAGUUGUAGGUUAAGGUGGACAAAUUAUCUUAGGCCAGACUUAAAGAGAGGCCUUCUUUCAGAUUAUGAGGAGAAAAUGGUCAUUGACCUUCAUGCUCAACUUGGAAACAGGUACACAAAUUUCACAUUCAAGACAGCUCUUCUCAUUUCUCGCUUUCCCCUGCAUCCCCGCCUUCGUCAUUCACUUUCACUUUCUUUGAUAAUCUAACUACGCUAUCAAUCAUUCAUCCAUAUAACAAUGGAUUGCUUAGAACUCUACAAAGAGGACAUUAUGCGUGACUGAAACUUAAUGCUCUAUGAUCACUGACGGAAAUGCAACAUCAUUUUCGGCUAUCAAGAAGAGGAUGGAGAAGGAUAUUGAUGAAAUUGAAAAGAUUGCACAUAGUGUCAAAACAAAAAUAAAAGCUAUAAACACAGAUGUAAUGAGACGAAGAUAAUGCCUUGAUGUUUUAGUAGAUUUUAGUCCUGAAAUUUCAAACAUGAGGAAUUUUUUAUGUGGUCUUGUUAUUUGCAUAAUUUAGUAUAGUUGAACAAUAUAUUGAGUUUAUGUUUUGAAUUAUAG